rnacentral:lncRNA from 1 species
CUGGUUUCCAUGUGUCUGUAAGGAGGCACCGUCUUCCCCCAGCAGCCAGCACCUGGCUUCAUGUGUGCUUAUCGCGCAGGGAGACAAAGCCGGAGGCGUAGGAACUCUGUAGGACUAAAUAAAAGGAGCACGGACCGAGCACAUGAUGCUUGGUAAAAAUGAAAUUUUAAUCGAGUCUCUGUCAACCUUUCGUCGCUUCCUUGGUUCUCUCGGUACCGGUAGUCGGAGCGCGUGUCCUUUGCAGCUUAUGAAUCAGGCCGCUGAUGGUCUCAGCCCUCCGCCGCCCCACUCGCCGAGCGGGAAGGACGCCAGCGACCACUCUCUGUUCACUCCAUCGCUGACAGUGAGUUAAAAAUACUUGGCUGGUGAGAAAGGUGAGAAAUGGAUGACUCAGUCCCUCCAAAUAAAGAAUCUGCCGCUGGAACGGAAGGCUGGUCAGAGCCAGCGCGCUGAGGAGUCGUUUUUAGGCCCUGUCCUGCGAGGCGACAUUCAAGAUUACUCCUGCUUCAUCCUGGCUGCCUUACGUGGAGUCUCUGCAGCGCGUGCGAUGUGUGAUGUUGGAAAAGCCAGGCCGUUCCUCUGUGACUCCAUGGGGCCUUCCCUGUGGGUUGCUGCUCUGGCUUGGCCCCUCCAAUGUUCAAGGAUGCUGUGAGGCGCAUUUACCUGCUCUGCGGUCUGGUAGGGAUCGUUUAUUUAUUUCUCCAAGGCUCAUUCCACAAAGGAUUCGAAAGUGACAGGCUUUCGGCUGACACUUUCUUUGGAGCCCCUGUAUGUAAAUGCUAGGGUGCUG